GAUGAACGCUGACAGAAUGCUUAACACAUGCAAGUCAACUUGAAUUUGGGUUUUUAACUUAGGUUUGGGUGGCGGACGGGUGAGUAACGCGUAAAGAACUUGCCUCACAGCUAGGGACAACAUUUGGAAACGAAUGCUAAUACCUAAUAUUAUGAUAAUAGGGCAUCCUAUAAUUAUGAAAGCUAUAAGCGCUGUGAGAGAGCUUUGCGUCCCAUUAGCUAGUUGGAGAGGUAACGGCUCACCAAGGCUAUGAUGGGUAGCCGGCCUGAGAGGGUGAUCGGCCACAAGGGGACUGAGACACGGCCCUUACUCCUACGGGAGGCAGCAGUGGGGAAUAUUGGACAAUGGACCGAGAGUCUGAUCCAGCAAUUCUGUGUGCACGAUGAAGUUUUUCGGAAUGUAAAGUGCUUUCAGUUGGGAAGAAACAAAUGACGGUACCAACAGAAGAAGUGACGGCUAAAUACGUG
rnacentral:rRNA from 1 species